rnacentral:rRNA from 1 species
UACGGGGGGGCAAGCGUUGUUCGGAAUUACUGGGCGUAAAGGGCUCGUAGGCGGCCAACUAAGUCAGACGUGAAAUCCCUCGGCUUAACCGGGGAACUGCGUCUGAUACUGGAUGGCUUGAGUGCCGGAGAGGGUGGCGGAAUUCCCGGUGUAGAGGUGAAAUGCGUAGAGAUCGGGAAGAACAUCAGUGGCGAAGGCGGCCUGCUGGGCUGUUGCUGACGCUGAGGCGCGACAGCGUGGGGAGCAAACAGG